rnacentral:lncRNA from 1 species
CUGGCCUAAGUACUUUUUUUUGCUGGGGGGACGGAGUUUCGCUCUUGUUGCCCAGGCUGGAGUGCAAUGGCGUGAUCUCGGCUCACCGCAACCUCCACCUCCCGGGUUCAAGCGAUUCUCCUGCCUCAGCCUCCUGAGUAGCUGGGAUUACAGGCAUGCGCCACCACGCCUGGCUAAUUUUGUAAUGGGUGUCAUUCUUAAUCAUCCGAUUAUUUGUUGACAAAUAAAUGAAUGUCAUAGCCUGCUUUCCCUUCCCAUUAUUGAGAUUAACUGGCAAAAAUAAUUUGUUUCCUGUAAGUUUUCUUCUUUUUUUUUUUUUUUUUGAGAUGGAGUCUCACUCUGUCACCCAGGCUGGAGUGCAGUGGCAUGAUCCUGGCUCACUGCAACCUCUGCCUCCCGGGUUCAAGUGAUUCUCCUGCCUCAGCCUCCUGAGUAGCUGGGAUUACAGGCAUGUACCACCACGCCCGGCUAAUUUUUGUAUUUUUAGUAGAGAUGGGAUGGGAUUUCACCAUGUUGGCCAGGCUGGUCUCAAACGCCUGACCUCAAGUGAUCCGCCCACUUCAGCUUCCCAAAGUGCUGGGAUUACAGGCGUGAGCCACUGCACCAGGCCAAUUUUCUGUGUUUUCAAUAAUUAAUUUUAGGCAAGUCAAACCAAACACAUCGCAGAGUCCCUUCCCUGUUGGUGUGGGUGUUUCUCAGCAUUUAUGUUUUAGUCAAAUAUUACAGCUUUUAGUAAAAAUUUAUAUACGGUUUGAAGAAAAAUGAAGCAUAGAAAGCAGACAAGGAAGGCUAUUUCUCUCAUUUUGUCACCUUCAUAAUGUUGGUUGCUAAAAAUAACCUACUUGUCAAAUCAUUUUGUACUACUGCGAGAAGUGCUAAUGUAAGACAUGUUUUCUGAAAAUAACUGUGAUGAGGCGUCUUGGAUUAAGGGCUUUGGUACAGAAGUGAUGGAGUUCCCUUCUGGGUAGAGUGGCUCAGGAUCAUAACUUGCUUAGAACACCUACUAGCUUACCCUUUCAACUCCUUAAGAGGAAACCUGUUUGUAGGAUUUUUUUUGUAAACUAACCAAUCUAUAAAUGUUGUAUGGGAUCCUGAAUUAAAUCUUGAACAACAACAACAAAAAGGACAUUAGUGAAAACACCGAAGUCUAAAUAAAGUCUGUUGUCUAGUAACUAGUAUGAUGAUAAUGUUAAUGUGAUAGUUUUGAUCAGUGUACCAGAAGAUGAGAUGCUACCGUUAGGGGAAGCUAGGUGAAGGGUAUACAUGAACUUUCUGAACUACAGUUACAACUCUUGAGUAAAUCUAAAAUUAUUUCAAAAUGCAAAGUUAAAAGAAACUAACUAUAGUCUUUGGAAAACUAAAUAUACUGAUUGAAAGCUAAUUCUAGAAAAACCAGGUCUGGAAAGGUGUUAAGGCCACAUCUCGAGGGAGAGAAUUUUACUCACUCAGAUACCCAGAUAUGUGCUAGAUGUUUGACUGACUGUAAGUACCAACCCUGACAAGGUGACAAGAGGGGUAGUGUGCAACAAUUCUUUUACAAAUAUGGAACUUAUAGAAGCCUAUCAAAAAAAAAAUCUAGUUCCUUUCUUUCCAUAUAAGCAAGGCUAGUUCAAAACACAGUGGCCCAACUAAAAGAGGUUCAAUAUAAGUUAUUUUUUGGUUUUUUGUUUUUUGAGUAGCGUCUCACUCUGUUGCCCAGGCUGGGUACAGUGCUGUGAUUAUAGCUCACUGCAACCUCAGUCUCCUGGGCUCAAGUGACCCUUUUUUUUCAGCCUCCUGAGUAGCUGGGACUACAGGCAUGUGCCAACAUGCCUGGCUAAUUUUUGAUCGUUAGUAGAGAUGAGGUCUCGCUAUGUUGCCCAGGCUGGAAAUGUAAAUUUUCUUAAUCUCCCAUCUUAGACUUAUUUGGUCGGCUUGGAGUUAGGAAGGAAUUUCUCACUGUAGUGCCAAACCUGAAAUGGUAAUUGUGUUUGAGCAAGUUCCCUGAACAUAAGGGGGCGAGGGGAGGAAGAGGAACGAUCCAGGCCAUUUUUGUUGAUACAUAAUAGUUGCACAUAUUUUUUCAUGUGAUGUUUCGAUAUAUGCAUACAAUGUGUAAUGAUCAGAUCAGGGUAAUUGAGAUAUUUGUUGCCUCAAACAUUUUUUCUUUGUUGGGAAUGUUUAAACUCUUCUAGCUGUUUUGAAAUAUACAAUAAAUGAUUGUUAACUAUAGUCACCCUACUGUGCUAUUGGACAUUAGAACUUAUUCCUUCUAUUAUAACUGUAUGUUUGUAUUCAUUAACCGACAUCUCUUUCUCCGCUCCCCGCUCCACCCUUCCCAGCCUCUGGUAUCUAUCAUUCUAUUCUCUACCUCCAUGAGAUAACUUUGUUAGCACCCAAAUAUGAGUGAGAACAUACGAUAUUUGUCUUUGUGUGCCUGGCUUAUUUCAUUUAACAUAAUGACCUCUAGUUCCAUCCACGUUGCUCCAAAUGAUGGGGCACCAGCCCCCUUAGUAUUCAGUUCUCCUUUAGUCCCUGAACCACAUUAUCAGUGGAGUUAACUCCUGUGUUAGCUAAAAGACAGGUGUCUUUGUAACCUAGUGUAAUCAGCAUGACAAUUUUCUAAAAAAAAAAAAAUGUAUAUUAAGAAUGUGUUGGAGUAGGGGGUGUGGAAUGUAAAAGAACUGUGGAACUCUUCAUUCUUUUAAGUUCUUUAGAGAAGUGCUCUUAUAUGUAUGCUUUACAUAG